AUAAUACUCCCUCCAUCAUGAAUUAGUUGGCUAAUAUUUUUUUAGAUACAGAUGUAUCUAGACACGUUUUAGUGUUUGGUACAUCUGUAUCUAGACAAAUUUUAGACAACUACUUUGGGACGGAGGGAGUAUAUG
rfam:Triticum aestivum genome assembly, contig: Triticum_aestivum_CS42_TGACv1_scaffold_220707_3B